UGAUAUUUCUUCAAGCAGAUGAUUCCUGGAUACAUACGUCAUCAAUAGCUGGAAUUAUACAGGUGCUAGAUAAUUUGGUCAUUUCCUCACCCUUGCCUUUCUUCAGGGUGUUUGGGCUAUAGCUAUGAUCUCCAACUUAAACACUGAUAGUUUCACUGUUUUUUAUUCUCUCUGAUUUAAUGACUAGGAAACAACAGCAUGAAAUAGUUAAAAGUAUAGAAUACCAGGAUGCUUAAGAUUAAAAAUACCUUCGGGCUUUAUUUUUUAAAAAACUCAGUGCUAUAACAAAAUGGUAUUCUCUUAGAAAAAUUGUUUUAGUCCCAAAUGGCCAGUGCAGGUUUUCACAGUACAUACUGCAUUGUCUUCCCACCAGAAUCACAUGGUUGCUGUCAACACAAUGAGGUCCUUGUGCUUUGUCCAUGUGCUCUCUGGAUUUAAUAUAUUUCUCUCCCAACAGUGUAAUAAGUAUAAUUUACAUCACUUCCCAUUUAGUCUAUAUUCACCAAUGAACGCCUACACGGCAAACACUUGAAUGAUGUGGAUUUCAGAAAUAAAUUACAUUUUCCUUAUACAGAAACAACUUCUACAUGAUCUCUUUUCUUUAAUAUUUUUAUGGUGUUAGGUAUGUGUUUGUAUGAGAGAGAGAGAGAGAGAGAGAGAGAGAGAGAGAGCGCCAGUUAUAUAAGACCAUGAUGACAUCAGCAACACAGACUUAUGUUCACUUCAAGAUCUGCUGUGUGCUAUCUGUGGAAUGGAUUGGAUUGGAACAGAACGGAAUGAAAUGGAACGGGACAGAUCAGCAAGGCAUGGCACAGCAUGGAGUAAGCAUGUGCUUUAGAAAGCAUAUGUGUUUUAGAAAGAAUAUAAGAAAUAGUUUGAAAGCAUCUAGUUCACUACUCCAUCUCUCCUCUUCCCGUGUCCAGCUUCUCCUAAAGCAAAGCCAAGUGUGCUCAUCUCUCACACUAAGCAGUUUCUCCAUUGUGAUGCUUAAUUGUCUGUCUCACAUUGGCUGGGCCACAGUUCCCAUAUAUUUGGGUAAGCAUUAUUCUGGAUGUUUCUAUGAAAAUGUUUUUGGAUGAGGUUAACAUUAAGUAGGUGGAUUCUGAACAAAGAAGAUGAGAUUACUCUCUAUAAUGUGGGUGGUCCUCAUCAAAUGAACUGAAGGCCUAAAUAGAACAAAGACUCGCCUCUUCUAAGCAAGAAGAAAUUCUGCCAGCCCACUGCCCUUGGACUUGAACUGCAGUGCUUCCCUGAGUCUUCAGCCUGCCAGCCAACCUCAUCAAACUUUGGAUUUGUAAGCCUCUACAAUCAUAUAAGCCAAAUUUUUAAAUAAAUCUCUAUAUGUAAGUACA